rnacentral:rRNA from 1 species
AGCGAACGCUGGCGGCAGGCUUAACACAUGCAAGUCGAGCGGGCACUUUCGGGUGUCAGCGGCGGACGGGUGAGUAACGCGUGGGAACGUGCCCUCUGGUUCGGAAUAACUCAGGGAAACUUGAGCUAAUACCGGAUACGCCCUUUUGGGGAAAGGCUUGCUGCCGGAGGAUCGGCCCGCGUCUGAUUAGCUAGUUGGUGAGGUAACGGCUCACCAAGGCGACGAUCAGUAGCUGGUCUGAGAGGAUGAUCAGCCACACUGGGACUGUGACACGGCCCAGACUCCUACGGGAGGCAGCAGUGGGGAAUAUUGGACAAUGGGCGCAAGCCUGAUCCAGCCAUGCCGCGUGAGUGAUGAAGGCCUUAGGGUUGUAAAGCUCUUUUAUCCGGGACGAUAAUGACGGUACCGGAGGAAUAAGCCCCGGCUAACUUCGUG